rnacentral:rRNA from 1 species
GCGUUAUCCGGAAUGAUUGGGCGCAAAGCGUCCGCAGGUGGCGAUGUAAGUCUGCUGUUAAAGAGUGAGGCUCAACCUCAUAAGAGCAGUGGAAACUACAUAGCUAGAGUACGUUCGGGGCAGAGGGAAUUCCUGGUGUAGCGGUGAAAUGCGUAGAGAUCAGGAAGAACACCAGUGGCGAAGGCGCUCUGCUAGGCCGUAACUGACACUGAGGGACGAAAGCUAG